UACGUGAGGUGCAAGCGUUGUCCGGAAUUAUUGGGCGUAAAGAGCUCGUAGGCGGUUUGUCGCGUCGAAUGUGAAAACCCGGGGCUCAACCCCGGGCCUGCAUUCGAUACGGGCAGACUAGAGUUCGGUAGGGGAGACUGGAAUUCCUGGUGUAGCGGUGAAAUGCGUAGAGAUCGGGAGGAAGGCCGGUGGCGAAGGCGGCGCUCUGGAACGUUUCUGACACUGAGGCUCGAAAGCGUGGGGAGCAAACAGG
rnacentral:rRNA from 1 species